GCCGAGGGUUUUGCUGCUGCUACGGGCUUUGGCACAGCACACGCAACAUUUGCGUGAUGCUCUUCACAGGGGCAAAAAAAAAAAAAAAAAAAAGAGAAAAAGGAAAGCAGAGUACUAGUGCUUGUCUUGAAAAUGGCUACUAGCAAAUACCCUGUACAUAGUAACCUUAGGACUAUUGAGAGGUUAAAAAGAGAUCGUACUAUAGACAUUGUAUAACAAAAUUGUAAAAUGUUUAUAUAAUAUAAUAUUAUAUAAUAAAAUCAAAUUUACUAAAACAAACUGUUCCAUCUUAGCCGACAAAAUUUCCUGCCCAACUAGUUCCUGAAUGCUCAUUCAGCUGAUCAAAAUUAUAAUAAUAUCUAUUCUAUAUCUAAAUAUAAAUACAACCCAUCUUCUUCAUUCUUUACAGGGUAUCAAAAGGCAAAUUAGCGACUACACAUACACCAAGUGCUGAACACAUAUUUGAAAAGGAAAAUACGUGGCCAGCUCUGGAUAUCCGGACACGGCACAUCACCCGCUUACUGUGUCUUUCACGCACACACACACGCACACACCGUCAGCUCUCUUGCUUCUCUUCUACGUUUUUUGUGGCCUUCUCCAGUUGCAAAAGUGGCGCGAAAAUUAAACGGCGCAAAGCUGGGCGCUCGUUUUUUUUUUUUUCGGCCCCCAAAGUGCAUUAAAAGCGCAAAUUAAGUUGCCUAGUUUUUUUUUCUUUUUCAUGCAGCUACAGAAUUAAAAACCUGUGUUCUACAUACACCACGACAUGCGGAUAAUUAAGAAAAGUCAAGGAAUGUAACAAUGCAUGGAACUGAAGGCCAUAAAAUGUUGAAGUUUAUUAACAUGUGUAAUGCAAAAUUAUGCAUUUGAUAGCUAAAAUAGAGGGGACAGAGGACGGUGGACGGCGGGCGGUAGCCGGUGGGUAAAUGCAUAAAAAACUAUGAUGUGUAUGCAUGGUGUGUGUGUGCAUGCGUGUGUCUGGAGGGAUGUGCGUGUAUGCAUGCAACUUCAGUUAACUAUCUACAUGCAUAUGCGUGUACAUUCCAGUGCAGUUGCUUUAACUAGUUCCACUGCUUUAAUUUCCAUCCGCUUUCCUAUAUGUGACUCUUGCUGGACCAAUAUAUGCUAAAAGGAAAAGCUCGUUUCUAAUCCUCAGUAUUAAAUGGCAUGAUGAACUCUGUUGGAUUCAGUGGGGAAACAAUCGUUAAAGUAAUCGCAAUCAAACUAGGAAUAUUUCAAGUUUCAAUAAUCAAACAAGGCUAAGUAGUUGAACGUGCUGCAGUCGCAGCUGGGCUGACUUAACCAAAGUUUGUAAUUACGGCCGGGAACACAAUGCAUUGCCAACUUUUCAAUUAAAAACAUAAAUACAAAUCGAGAAGGACCAUUUGGGGGCGGAGAAUGCCCCUCAAUAUGUCUGAAUGGGCCGAUGGGUGGUUGGGUGAUUGUUUGGGAUUGUAUGGGCAUGGAUGGCCGUAUGGCUGAAAGCCAGCCAGUUGUGUCAACAAUUACUUACUGAAUGGUGAUUAAAAUGUUGAUGCCCGACAGCACGACCAUGGGCAGCAGACAAUAGCCCAGCACGGAGGCAACCGCCCCGAAGGUCACUUGCGACCGUGUGACCAUCAGCGAGAGCAGACAGUAGAAGAAUAUGCAGCCCAUGACGCCGAUGCCAUAUAUAUAGGAGAAGGUGACUUUUCCGCUCUGAAACGAAAUGGAAAUGGAGGUGGAAAGGGAAACAUUGGAACUAUGCAAUUAGAGAACUUUUGGGAUUUACACACCAGCAGCAGAAUGCCUCCGAGUGUCAAACAGAAUACCAAUGGACCAGCCAUGUCCGUGUCCUGGAGUAUUUGUUGAUCUGUGCCGCGUAGCGGAUUCAAAACGGCGAGCGUCUAAAAUGAAAUAAGAAGAGCGGGUUAUUGUGUGAUUCUAAAGCAAUACUAUUGAAAUUAAAGCAAGUGAAGGAUUUCGCAACUGAACAGCGCCGUCAUCAUUCACCAGCUGCGGCAGGACACGACACAAUUCAUUUGUUCGCACACACACACACACACAACAGCCAUAAAAUGGAGCCUAAGUUCCGCUUUGAACAGUUGCUCUGUGUACAUGUACAUAGGUACGUAUGUAUUUGUAUAUGGGUGUGUGCACUCGCACAGUGAAAUUUGAAAAAUGGAAAUUGAUGAUAAAUGAUAUUGCUGACCAGUCAGCGAACCAGAGCACCGAACGACCCUGUCAACAUGUUUGACGCACGAGAAUUUAGACCACGAGCCCAGAAAUAAAUGAAACAACAGCCAACCAAAAA